GAGACCCGCAUUCUAUGUUGCAACCACUUUUUUCGAAAAGUGGGCACUCAUAGAAGACUGCCAGUGAUAAAUUGGAGGAAGGGGCGGGCAACGAUAGGUCUGUAUGGCCCGAAUCUCUUGGGCUACACGCGGGCAACAAUGGUAAGGACAAUUGGAUGCUACUCCGAAAGGAGACGCUAAUCCCCUAAACCUUAUCUUAGUACAGAUCGAGGGUUGCAACUCACCCUCGUGACGUCGGAAUCCCUAGUAAUCGAGUGUUAGCAUCGCUCGACGAAUAC
rnacentral:rRNA from 1 species